rnacentral:rRNA from 1 species
GAUCAUGGCUCAGAUUGAACGCUGGCGGCAGGCCUAACACAUGCAAGUCGAACGGUAACAGGAAGAAGCUUGCUUCUUUUGCUGACGAGUGGCGGACGGGUGAGUAAUGUCUGGGAAACUGCCUGAUGGAGGGGGAUAACUACUGGAAACGGUAGCUAAUACCGCAUAACGUCGCAAGACCAAAGAGGGGGACCUUCGGGCCUCUUUGCCAUCGGAUGUGCCCAGAUGGGAUUAGCUAGUAGGG